GCGGGUGUAGUUUAGUGGUAGAACGUGAGCUUCCCAAGCUUGAGGUGAGGGUUCGAUUCCCUCCAUCCGCACCA
rnacentral:tRNA from 1 species